rnacentral:lncRNA from 1 species
UAGGACAGAUCGGCUGUGUGUGGUUCUCACACAUGCUAUUGGGACAAGGAACGACAACACAUUAGUGCAAACGAUCAAAAGGGUAUUUAUUUCUGUUUUCAUACACUAAUGCA